UUAAUAGAGAAAGUUUUAUGCACCAAUAAAAAUUUCUUAGAAAUCAAUAGUUUCUGAGAAAAAUCAACAUAUGUCUUUUUGGUGUACUUUCCAUGUUUCAAUUUCCAAAAAAACUGAUAACUUCUAGGCUACUAGAGAUAGAGAAUUGAUUCAAAAACUCACACGUGCUCCAUUUAAUAGAGAAACUUAUAUUCAUCAAUAAAAAAUUCUGAGAAAUCAAUAGUUUCUGAGAAAAAUCAACAUAUGUCUUUUUGGUGUAAUUUCCAUGUUUUAAUUUCCAAAAAACCUCAUAACUUCUAUAUUAUUAAAGAUAGAGAAUUAAUUUAAAAACUGACACGUGCUCCAUUUAAUAGAGAAACUUUUAUGCCUCAAUAAAAAUUUCUAAAAAAUCAACGGUUUUUGAGAAAAAUCAACAUUUGUCCAGUGUUGCCUAUUUAGUGUUUUAGGUUAUGUACAAAAAACGUCACAACUUCCUUGCCUUUGGAGAUAGAGAAUUGAUUCGAAAACUGACACGUGCUCCAUUUAAUAGAGAAACUUUUAUGCAUCAAUAAAAAUUUCUGAGAAAUCAACGGUUUUUGAGAAAAAUCAACAUUUGUCCAGUGUUGCCUAUUUAGUGUUUUAGGUUAUGUCCAAAAAACGUCACAACUUCCUUGCCUUUGGAGAUAGAGUAUUGAUUCGAAAACUGACACGUGCUCCAUUUAAUAGAGAAACUUUUAUGCAUCAAUACAAAUUUCUGAGAAAUCAAUAGUUUCUGAGAAAAAUCAAC